UACGAAGGGUGCAAACGUUGCUCGGAAUCAUUGGGCGUAAAGCGCACGUAGGCGGCUUCAAAAGUCGGAUGUGAAAUCCCGUGGCUCAACCAUGGACGUGCAUUCGAAACUGCGAAGCUUGAGUAUGGAAGAGGGUCGCGGAAUUCCCGGUGUAGAGGUGAAAUUCGUAGAUAUCGGGAGGAACACCAGUGGCGAAGGCGGCUCUCUGGGCCCUACCUGACGCUGAGACGCGAAAGCGUGGGGAGCGAACCGG
rnacentral:rRNA from 1 species